rnacentral:rRNA from 1 species
GACGAACGCUGGCGGCGUGCUUAACACAUGCAAGUCGAACGGAAAGGCCCUGCGUUUGUUUGUUUCUCGAUUGGCGAACGGGUGAGUAACACGUGAGGAACCUGCCCUUGACUGUGUGAUAACUUCAGGAAACUGCGUCUAAUAUCGGAUAUGAUCUUCUGCUGCAUGUGGUUGAUUGGAAAGAGUCGGCGUUUGUGGAUGUACUCGAUGCUUAUCAGCUUGUUUGUGUGGUAGUGGCUUACCAAGGCUUUGAAGGGUAGCCGGCCUGAGAGCGUGACCGGCCACAAUGCGACUGCGAUAGGGACCAGAAUCCUACGGGCGGCAGCAGUGGGGAAUCUUGCAGAGUGGGCGGAAGUGUGAUGCAGAAACGCUGCGUGCGGGAUGACCGCUUUCGGGUUGUAAACAUCUUUCGAAUGUGACGAAGAGUGAGUGACGGUACUGGGUAAAGAAGCCCCGGCUAACUACGUG